rnacentral:lncRNA from 1 species
UUUACUCCCGUUUCCACCGGUAAAGCAAAGUGAAGCGACUUGCUAACCCAUCCCACGCCCCGACGCAGCCCCGGGGGCGGCAGAGGGGUCCCGCCUGGCGCUGAGGGCGCAUCUGGACGCAGGAAGAGUCUCCCGCCCGCUUCCCGGAGCCGGGGGCGUUCCUUUUAGUGCCACAGGACUCCCCAGAUAUCAAGGAAACUAUCAAAGACUACUGGGGUCAAUGUCAAAAGGACUCAGGAGUUAACUUGAAGAGACUCCCUCUGGCCAUGGAUGGGACACAUUCAGCAUCAGUAAGCAUAAUAACUACAAAGGAUUGAAACACAUCAAAUGUGAAUUGUCUGUCGCAUUCUCCAUGAGCUCAUAAUGAUACUUUAAAAAAAAGAUAAGGUCACCAAUAGAGGAAGCUGG